GACAUUUAAAUGCUGAAGCAAUGAUCUCAUCUCUUCCUGUAUUCUCCUGCUAAAUAUUGUGGAGGAGGCCUCAUGUCACCUUAGUGACAGUGGGCAAUGAUCAGUAAUGAAGCUAAAAGGUCACCAAACACUAAGGUGCUGUGAUGGCUGGAUCCAGAGCAGUCAUAUGAGAGCAUGAGAAAAAGCACCAUUUGGAAGAUGGCCAAGGAAAAGAGUAAAGAGUCUGGAUGUCUGAUAGUCAUGAAAACUUCAUAUCUGACCUGGAGUGUUUGCAUAUACACCCCUGAGGAAAGAGAGGAAAUAAAAAGCAAGUUGCCAACCUUUUCACUGAGUGAAGUCUACUGUGUGAUUUCUACCUAUUUCUAAUCCGUGAACCCUGCUGAAGAAAAGCAUACAAGCAAACAUAUGAGUAACAUCUUACAAGCCUCUCUACAAAAUAAAUCUCCCACCCUCUGCUAUGCUAAAAGAAGAGUCA